rnacentral:rRNA from 1 species
UACAGAGGGUGCAAGCGUUAAUCGGAAUUACUGGGCGUAAAGCGCACGUAGGUGGUCACUUAAGUCAGGUGUGAAAUCCUCGGGCUCAACCUGAGAAUUGCAUUUGAUACUGGGUGUACUAGAGUAUGUUAGAGGGAAGUGGAAUUUCCGGUGUAGCGGUGAAAUGCGUAGAUAUCGGAAGGAACAUCAGUGGCGAAGGCGACUUCCUGGAAUAAUACUGACACUGAGGAGCGAAAAGCGUGGGGGAGCGAACAGG